AAAGAUAUAGCAUAUUCUUCUGAAUAUACUUUAUUAACCCAUUCCGAGUAUCCUUACCCGUUGCUUCCGCGAGGCUGUCCUCACGGCCCUCUGAAGAUUUAUCUUUGGGGAGUCCUUGCGGAAGGUAUACAAUAAACUCUUGCAUUACCAUGUCAUCUGUCUGAAUCCGUUUAAAACAAAUAUUA
rnacentral:misc_RNA from 1 species